rnacentral:lncRNA from 1 species
CCAGGAUCCAGCCAAGGAUCAUAUGUCCCAUUCAGCUGCCACGUUUCCUGGUCUCCUUCACCUUCACAGUGCUGGCCCUUUUCAGCAAUCCCAGGCACCUGCUCUGGCUGUUUGCUCUUUAACAGAUCCAGUUAGACGCCGGUCAUCCCUUCCUGGUACACAGAUGAUUCAUUCGACGAUCACUCCCCAAUCUGUAACUCUAGCUCCAAUGAUGAUCUCGUCACCACUUCUGAAGUCCUCCCAGCACCCUGCCUGUACGGCAGUGUCCCCUGCCAGCCUCAACAAACAUCUGCUUGCUCCAGUAUCUCCCAGUCUCCCCUGCAGGUGGAUAGAAGCCAUGAGCCUGGGCUGUGGCCAAUGGGGUGUGAGUGACAGAGUGACUUCCAGGUCCUAUCCUUACAAAACUUCCUAGGAUUCUCGGCUCCUGUCAUGUGACCCUAGUGCCACAUGUUCUAGAUGGCAAAGUUAUAGAAAGGAGGAGGUCACCGGACUCUUCAUUGCAGUGAACUUUGAAUGAGGGAAGUGAUGUUCCUUGGGGCAUACAGAGACUUGGGAUCAUCUGUUGCUGCACUGCAUCCUGGCCUGUGCUGACCAACACCACCAGGACAUCAUAUGAUAACUCAGCAGCUGUGGUCAAGGUUGCAUCUGGCACCUUCUCUUCAGAUGUGUUCCCUUCCUGGCCUCACUGUCCCCAAACACCUCAAGGUCUCCAGACUGCUCCUUCCUUCUCACACUGCACCACUGGGGUUCCAGGUCCUCCCCUCCACCUGCCUCCACUCCUGGACCAACACUCUGGCUUCCAAGGUGGUCUCUCCCUCCAGCCUUUAGAAGCUGCCAGAACUUUCUGGAACACAACUUUGACUGUGUCAUUCCUUUUCUUGAAAAUCCUAGGAGGUUCUCCUCCAGCUUGGAAUAAAGUACAAACACUUCAAUACCUGAAUUCAUUAGCUUUUUGUCACUGGGACAAAAUACUUGCCAUAUACAACUCAAAGGAGGAGUAGUUUAUUUGGCUCACAGUUUCUGACUGUUGGUCCAUGGUCAACUGGCUCCAAAGUAGAAACAUCAUGGCGGAAGGGUGUGGAGGAGGACAGCUGCUCACCUCAUGGCAGCCAAGAAGCAGAGAAGGACAGAGCCAGGGAGAGAGGAAGGGGCUGGAAACAGGAUACACUCUUCAAGGGCACACUCUGGUGACCCACUUCCUCUAUUGGGGCCCCACUCAGAACAUUCAGCUGCGCAUUCACCAAUGGAUUAAUCCACUGGGGCCGGGGUCCUCAGGACCCAGUCAACUCCAGGCUCCACCUCCAUUCACUGCAGGGGUUCAGCCCUCAGUGGAUGAGUCUUUGUGGGGCAUGUCAUAUUUAAACCAUAACAGAACCUGAGACCUGCAGGCUCUGGACCCUGCCUUUCCCUCCAGCUGCAUAGCCACUGCUCUGUCCUCUACCUAGCAGGCUGUUCGCUGCUCCCUGUGGGGCUACCAACCUCUAUGUCUCUGUCCCUCUCUGUUUUCCGGAGACCAGGUCCUGACUCAUCACUCCUGGCCUGCCUGGAUGUACUUUUCUACGCCAACACCUCAGGCAGAAUAAAUUCUUUCCUCUCUCUUCCUUCCGCUACACUCAGCACAU